rnacentral:rRNA from 1 species
UGGGGAAUAUUGCACAAUGGGCGCAAGCCUGAUGCAGCCAUGCCGCGUGUAUGAAGAAGGCCUUCGGGUUGUAAAGUACUUUCAGCGGGGAGGAAGGUGUUGAGGUUAAUAACCUCAGCAAUUGACGUUACCUGCAGAAGAAGCACCGGCUAACUCCGUGCCAGCAGCCGCGGUAAUACGGAGGGUGCAAGCGUUAAUCGGAAUUACUGGGCGUAAAGCGCACGCAGGCGGUCUGUCAAGUCGGAUGUGAAAUCCCCGGGCUCAACCUGGGAACUGCAUUCGAAACUGGCAGGCUAGAGUCUUGUAGAGGGGGGUAGAAUUCCAGGUGUAGCGGUGAAAUGCGUAGAGAUCUGGAGGAAUACCGGUGGCGAAGGCGGCCCCCUGGACAAAGACUGACGCUCAGGUGCGAAAGCGUGGGGAGCAAACA